AGAGAUGGAGACUAACGUCUUCCAAGGGAGAUUGCGUCUCCACUUUCACCCUGGUACUGAGAGGUUGAGCACAAAAUUGGUAACCAAUGCUGCGCUUCCAGCAAAUUUUCCCACCAGCACCCAAUCCUGGGAUAUUUAUUCUCUUUGUCUCACAUCCUACAGGAACGCAGUCGCGGGGUAUAUCCCCCUGAAAACCGUACGUUGCCAAAUAAUGAUUUCUUUGGAUUAGAGAACUACAACUCCCCUGGGUCCUGAGCCGGUAUUUCCCUUUUGCGGCUGCACCGUAGUUAAAAACAAAGCUAAGUGUUCUGGGACGUAUAGUUCUAGCGUUCCUUGGGUCCCGCUGGCGAGCGUGGGCUUUCUGCAGCUCGCAACCGGCCUCGUGCUUUGCGGACGGUUCACUGCGCUUGGAAAGGGAUUGGCCUGGGGUACAUCAUCUAAAGAUCCUAGGAUUGCUGCAGGUCAGCAGUCUCCACUGGAAAAAAAGAUCUUGAAUCUAGGUGGUGUGCAUACAACAGCAGCAAGACAGUUGAUAAUGCAGAAAUAUCAGGAGGAGUGUGAAAUACUCUGUAGGGAGCAAGCUGUUUCUCUUGACUACUGGCUUGCCAAAGCAGAGUCUUAUUAUAAUAAAAUAAUAGUGGAAAUGAUGAAAGAAGAGACAGGCAAUGAAAUCUAGAAAAAAAUGGAGGAGAAAACAACCCAGAGCGUAGAAGGACUAAAACAGUACUGUUUGGUACCUGAGAGAGAGAUGAAACACAUAGAAAGGCACAUACAUCAAACAGGAAAGGCUGGAGAAUUUAAGAACAAACCAUUUAGACAAGUACUACAACCCCCCAAUGAAACAAAAUUACCAAAAAUUAUGCCAGAAGGGCAUGGCAUCCAGAACGCACAGAGAAGAAAGCAGGUAAAUGAGAGGGAACAGAUGCAGACUAAGGAUCACCAGGAACGCAUGAUUCGAGGGAGAGAACUUGCAGAACAAAGACUCAAGGAGAGAAUCUUGAGAAGAAGCCAGAGCCAGCUACUUACAUAUGAGAAGCAUGAGAGAGUAAAAGAGAUAAAGGAGUUUGAAAGAGUUAUUGCGUAUCUUCUUUUCCAACCAUGCAGUAGAAGUCGGAUUAAACAUGUAUUUCAAGUCCUCUGAUGAAUCAUGUGAUCUACUAGACCCUGAAGAUACAGUGAAGAGCAAAAGUAAGAUGCUGGCAAUUUGAUGUUUGCACUGUCAUGAAGGAGAUGCACAUUUAGCAGAACUUACAAAGAGAAAUAUAAAAUUACUGCUGAGCUAAGUGUGGUGAAGAAAAGUUCAUGGUACCAUGAAAGCAGAUAACCAGGAGAUCUAACAGGUCCACUACCACUAUUCUCAAUAAUACCUAAAAGAAAUAAUAAGAUAUGGCAUUUAUAAAUGAUGAAUAGGAUUUUAUAAAAUUAUAUACAAUCAGAGAACCAAAAAGCACUCUUGGAAAUCAAAAAGUGAUCAUUUAAAUAAGUAUUUCAAUAGAUCACUUGGAAGAGUAAAUUUGUACUACCACUAAAUAUUAAAAAUGGAAAAACAAUGUCAAGAAAGACAGAAAAACUAUACGAAUACUAGGCUAUCAGUCAAGGAUUUCCUGCAACUUAAUAAUACAAAUUCUAAAAGAAUGGAAAGAUAGAAAUUAUUUAAAAUAAAAAAAUUUCUCC
rnacentral:lncRNA from 1 species